rnacentral:rRNA from 1 species
GAUGAACGCUAGCGGCAGGCCUAAUACAUGCAAGUCGAACGGUGUCUUCGGACAUAGUGGCGCACGGGUGCGUAACACGUAUGCAACCUACCUUACAUUGGGGGAUAGCCUUUCGAAAGGGAGAUUAAUACCGCAUAAGACAGUAGCUGGGCAUCCAGCAGCUGUUAAAGAUUUAUCGAUGUAAGCUGGGCAUGCGUCCAAUUAGCUAGUUGGUGAGGUAACGGCUCACCAAGGCAAUGAUUGGUAGGGGAACUGAGAGGUCAAUCCCCCACACUGGCACUGAGAUACGGGCCAGACUCCUACGGGAGGCAGCAGUAGGGAAUAUUGGGCAAUGGACGCAAGUCUGACCCAGCCACGCCGCGUGCAGGAUGAAGGCGUUAUGCGUUGUAAACUGCUUUUAUACAGGAAGAAACGACUCUUGCGAGAGGCAUUGACGGUACUGUAUGAAUAAGCACCGGCUAACUCCGUGCCAGCCGCCCGCCGUAAUAC